rnacentral:rRNA from 1 species
UGGGGAAUCUUGGACAAUGGGCGCAAGCCUGAUCCAGCCAUGCCGCGUGAGUGAUGACGGCCUUAGGGUUGUAAAGCUCUUUCGCCUGUGACGAUGAUGACGGUAACAGGAGAAGAAGCCCCGGCUAACUUCGUGCCAGCAGCCGCGGUAAUACGAAGGGGGCUAGCGUUGUUCGGAAUUACUGGGCGUAAAGCGCACGUAGGCGGCUUGCCAAGUUGGGGGUGAAAUCCCGAGGCUCAACCUCGGAAUUGCCUUCAAAACUGGCAGGCUUGAGUUCGGAAGAGGUGAGUGGAAUUCCCAGUGUAGAGGUGAAAUUCGUAGAGAUUGGGAAGAACACCAGUGGCGAAGGCGGCUCACUGGUCCGCAACUGACGCUGAGGUGCGAAAGCGUGGGGAGCAAACAGGAUUAGAUACCCCCGUAGUCC